rnacentral:rRNA from 1 species
CCUACGGGUGGCAGCAGUGAGGAAUAUUGGUCAAUGGGCGCAAGCCUGAACCAGCCAAGUCGCGUGAGGGAUGACGGUCCUAUGGAUUGUAAACCUCUUUUGUCGGGGAGCAAGGCCCGCCACGUGUGGCGGGAAGGAGAGUACCCGAAGAAAAAGCAUCGGCUAAGUCCGUGCCAGCAGCCGCGGUAAUACGGAGGAUGAGAGCGUUAUCCGGAUUGAUUGGGUUAAAAGGCUCCGUAGGCGGAAGGUUAGGUCAGCGGUCAAAUGUCGGUGCUAAACAUCGGCCUGCCUUUGAAACUGGUCUUCUUGAGUGAGCGAGAGGUAUGCGGAAUGCGUGGUGUAGCGGUAAAAUGCAUAGAGAUCAAGCGGAACACUGAUUGCGAAGGCAGCAUACCAGCGCUCAACUGACGCUGAGGCACGAAAGCGUGGGGAUCGAACAGGAUUAGAUACCCUAGUAGUC